CCUUCGAUAGCUCAAUCUGGAAGAGCGCAGGACUGUAACGGAAACCGUCUAUCCUGAGGUCGCUGGUUCGAUCCCGGCUCGAAGGA